UCAGCCGCGUUCCCAUUCCGAAAUGGACCGGAUCCCGAUCGGCUCCAGACGAGAAUCGCUGAGUGCUAGAGAUCGCGCGCGCCUGCCCCAACCCCAGCCCCAGCCCCCUCUCUCCCGAGGAUUUGGAUUUUCACACCCCCGGACGCACCUCACCCCGCCUCGAGAAUGAUAUAUUUAACAGCGAUCGCGGUUAUCUUAACCUCGGUUCUGGCGGACACGCGCUAUGGGCGAUUCUGGCCGGAAGAGCCGACGACUCAAGGCGAGGACGAGAUAUCGACGGACGCGAUGGACAUGAGCGGGAACUCGACGCAAACAGCCCUCGAGGACCAAGCCACGACAGUGAUAGACGACCUCCUCAACCUCCUCGACAAGGCGGAGCAAGGCGCCGGCGGCAUGGACGUGGCUCCCGAGGACCCGGCCGCCUCCACGAGCAGCACCACCGCCUCCACCACCUCCACGACCUCCACCACGACCGCCAUGACGACCUCCACGUCCACGGCCACGUCCACGACGACGACGACAACGACGACGUCGACGGCCCGGCCGACGCCGGCGCGGACCCCGGCCACGACGACGGCGGCGGCGCCGUGGUACAGCGUCGGGGCCGAGGGGGCGUCCACGGUCGGCGUCGGCGGGGCCCGCCGGACGGCCUACCACCUCGUCCCCAACGGCGCCAACCCCGGGCGCCGCCCCCCCGUCCACCCCAACGCCCUCACGACGAGUCGAGCGCACCCUAGCGGAGGGCGGGUGAACCAGGUGCCGAACCUCAUCCCGAGCCAAUGGACGGUGAAGAACCGGACGGCCUACGACCUCCAGACCACGCUGCGCUCCCAGGGGAAGCGAAUCCCACUGCUCAAGGACCGGGACCUUGAGCGGGCGGCCACGGCUCGGGCCGCGCAGUGGCCAGGGCGUGGAGCUCCGCCGCCGCCCACCCGCACCACCCAGCACACCCCCGCCCCCGCCCCCAGCGUUUCCGCCAGGAUAUACUACAACGACCUCGAGUACAGGCUCUGAAACGCUCCCAAUUUGUACAAAGUGUAAAAAUAUCAACACCAAAUAGAGAACAGCUGAUGUAAAGGUUUUCCCGGACUUUUCAAAAUUCCCUGACAUUUCCCGUUUUCCCAGUAUUCUCUGACUGUGGCAACCCUGUAAAUGACUGCGCAGAGGGGCGCAACGGGAGGGGAGGCAGAACUUUGGCAACACGGCGAAGGAGACGAGGCGUAUAAGCAUGCAUUUGUGUGAAAGACACUGAAAAACAAAUAAAACGGAGACGAUUUCUAAAGCGUUUUGCUUGGCA